GUGAGGAAUUUUCCGCAAUGGGCGAAAGCCUGACGGAGCAAUGCCGCGUGAAGGAUGAAGGCCUAUGGGUUGUAAACUUCUUUUCUCAGAAAAGAAUUAUGACGGUAUCUGAGGAAUAAGCAUCGGCUAACUCUGUGCCAGCAGCCGCGGUAAGACAGAGGAUGCAAGCGUUAUCCGGAAUGAUUGGGCGUAAAGCGUCUGUAGGUUGUUUAAAAAGUAUUCUGUCAAAGAUUAGGGCUUAACCCUAGAUAGGCAGAAUAAACUUUUAAGCUAGAGUUUGGUAGAGGCAGAGGGAAUUCCCGGUGGAGCGGUGAAAUGCGUAGAUAUCGGGAGGAACACCAAAGGCGAAGGCACUCUGCUGGGCCAAUACUAACACUGAGAGACGAAAGCGAGGGGAGCAAAUGGGAUUAGAAACCUAGUAGUCC
rnacentral:rRNA from 1 species